ensembl:lincRNA
AGACUCUCAAGCUCUCAAGCUGAACUCUUCAAGGCCAUGGCACCCUGCACGUUAGCCUGAAUCAUCUUCUGAUAUAUUGCAAGUAUUCAAGUAACAUACAUUAUGCAGCCAUACAAGGAAGAUUAAAAGAAGAAAAUCCAGGAUGCUACGUGAAGAAUGAAGUUUUGAUUCAGAACAGCCGAUUCAAACCAGGCUUAUGUAGCAUGGGUGCUCCUGGGGAGUUGCAGUCUGGAAGGCAGGCCAGCAGGGCUCCACCUAAGGUUUUUGGUGGCCCCUGGGCAGGGUGAAACGCCCCCAUGACGACAGUACACUCUGAAGACUCUUCCUGGAUGCUUUCUACAAAGAGAAAGAAUACCUGAUUUCUCCCCAAGCAGAAGUCACUGCCUUGCUCUACAGCACCCCAUCAAAUCUAAGACCAGUUUCGGGGAGAUGAUUCUUGGCUCAAUUCUCUUCUGCUGGGAUCCACCAGGUGAACAUCUGUUUUAUGAGCUCUACUCUGGCAGCCCCUUCUCCUCAUCAUUCAGAUGAUGAACUGCCUCUGCAUUGUGAAUGAUGGAUGAAUCCCGGAGCUCCUGCUGUGAGCCUUCCUGGAUGAAGAGCUCAGCUUUUCUGCUGUGAUUAUCAGAUUCCUCCUAGGCAUGCAAGCCUUCCAAAUGAAGCAGAGCACAAUGAACAUGUCCACCUAUAUGGGAGAUGCACAAGAAGAGUGGGAUGCAUUGAGAGUGUGAACUGCUCCAUAAACAAGUAGAUCAUC